UACAGGGGGUGCAAACGUUGCUCGGAAUCACUGGGCGUAAAGCGCACGCAGGCGGCUUGAUAAGUCAGGGGUGAAAUCCCGGAGCUCAACUUCGGAAUUGCCUUUGAUACUGUCUGUCUUCGAGUUCGGGAGAGGUUGGCGGAAUUCCUAGUGUAGAGGUGAAAUGCGUAGAUAUCUGGAGGAACACCGGUGGCGAAGGCGGCGUUCUGGACUGCAACGGACGCUCAGGCACGAAAGCGUGGGGAGCAAACAGG
rnacentral:rRNA from 1 species